CCCCAGUCUGGCCUUUUCCUGUUAAAGAGGAUGUUUAACUUUGUGAGAUGUCUUAUAGUGAAAUGUUAUUUGGUCAGUAAUAUUUGUUUGUGAGGGAAAUGAGCUCAAACAGAAGAAAGAACAUGACUGAACGAGUUGAGUUGAGUGAAGCUGCUGCUGUUUUAACAAAGGUCACUGUGUGUGACAUGCAAAUUCAGCUCCAACAUAGUUUAACAUCAGAGUCCUGCUUUACAUGGCCUGAAUAAGCGCACAUCGGCAUCUCUCUGUGCAGAGUUCCUGUGUUCUUCUUGUGCAUGCAGAGAUCCUCGUUUCCUCCUAAAGUUCAAAAACUUUCAUGUUGGGUUCGUUGAGGGAAAGUCGGAAUGGUCAGAUGCCUUCCAGCGACUUCUGCAUCCUGUCAUCUCCAAACUUGUCCUGGCUUUUCUCUGGAUCAAAACAGCUGAGGGGAGAGCUGGUCCUCCAUAUUUUCCCCUCUGGGCCAGACAUCAGUGAUGACGUCAGCCACAAACCAAAGCGCCGAUAAAUGCUGGACGCAACAUCAUCUCGUCCUAAAGCUGGAUGGAUGCCAUCAACCUGAGGUAGCGGACUGAGCUGAACAUGAGGCUGGCUGCAGAGGGCGACAUUGCUGGAGGAACUGACUGGGGAAAGCUCAGAGCUGGAGGAUCAUUAUGAGUCACAGAAGGAUGAUGUCAUCAUGCUGGAGAAAAACCACCAGGAGAUAAGAUAAGAAGCAUAAAACAGUGCAACAAUUUCAACCUCUUAUCAUUCUGUGGGCCGGCUCUGGUCAAUUUGGCGCCCAAGGCAAGAUUUCAGGUGUUGCCCCCUUGUGCAGUUUUCUGACUCUCACUACCAAAUACUUUUGUUUUUAAUAUUAUUUUUUGUUGUCCAGCAGAGAUGGGGACUCGUGACUCGGACUUAGACUGAAGUCACACUUAAGUCCCUGCUGUUAGAGACUUGGACUUGGAGCCAAAACUUGAGACUUGACUUGGAUUUGCAAAAAAAGACUUCCGCACAUCUCUGUAGUCCAGUAAACAGUAUAAAUAAUAUGAAACAGAAUACCAGACAUUUUACCUCAUACCUGCCGACAUCUGCUGACAUCAUGAGGAACUCCUGUUCAUGAUAGCAAGCAGCUGUGGAGUGAAGCAGUUCUAGGGGCAUCCAGGGGUUAAAGCUCUACUCAAAACUCUGCAUUUUCCAUUUGAAGUGCAUUUUACUCAAUUCUUUGGAUUAAUAAAACAUAAAAACAGUAUUUUAUGAAGGUAAAACACUGAAAACCAGACGUUAACCUGUACUUUAUAKUAUCCUUGUUUUGUUUUAUGACACACCGAGCACCAGUAGUUAGUCUUGACUGCAUCAUGUUUUAUCAUGAAACAUCUGCAUCAUAUAACCCAGCAGCUGUGAGAAACCCKCAGAACAAGUUACCUUCAUAAAUCUGAGGAACCAGUGAUUAUUCUACAGACUAAAUCAACUAUGCUUAAAAAAAGAGUUAUCAAAUAUGAUUUUUCAUGUCCCAUUUGUGUCGCCCCCUAGAUGGACUGCACCCUUAGCAUUUGYCUACACUGCCCACACCACGGGCCACUGCUGUUGUUACCAAAUCUAAUUAGAUUUCCUGCAUGAACUCUGCUUUCCCCUGAUAAACCAGAGGAAAUACUGUUACUGUUUUCAAAAACAUCUCUGCUGCCUGACGCUUUACACGCUGCCCCUCUUCUCUCUGCCCAUUUCCAUGUWUUCUUCUCUUCCUCCAUUAGCUCAUUGUUUCUGUUUGCCCAACACCUUUAACCCACAGAUUAAAGAUUAAAACAUGUWAUCCAGCACACCAGCACCUCGUUGAAUCGAUGAGGCUCUGAUCGCCAAGAAUCACAGAGAUGUGGAGCUGUGCUUCCAGAACAAGCAGAUCCAGCGGCGCUGCGGAUCCAGACUCACCUCGUUGUACAGAGCCUGACGACUUAUUUCCAGAACCU